GGUGCCAUUUCUUUUUUUCUUUUUUUCUUUUCGCUUUCCUGUAGAUCACUCAUCUCGCCCGAAGCCCCCUCGUCUCUUCGGCCCGGCGUCCCCUCGUCUCUUCCCCUUUUGAUUUCGAGCGGCGAAGACCUCGGUGAGUUAGAGAGCUUGAGUCAUGGCAAUUUCGAUUGGGAGUUCUCCUUCGGUGCCUGCUUGAGGGCUUGGUGGUCAGGCGGCCGGAAUUCUUCAGGCGGUAUGGUCGGUUUCUUCUCUCCCCAUCGAUGCAUCUCUCCUCUGUUGUUGUUUCCCUUUCAGUUCUCUGUUGCUCAGAUCUGUGGGUUGCUCGUGUGCUAAGAUCUGUAGGUUUAUGUGAUGUUAUGCGUAGGGGAUCGAGUGCUGUGAUGUAAUUCCAGUACUUUUAGUAUUGGUGUUGAUUGUAAUUCCAGUAGUAUUUUUGCUGAUUUACUAAUGUAAUUUUUGGUGUCUUCCAUUGUAUACCAGUGCAUUUUUUUUCUUUUCCAAUGAUAUAGCUCUGUAUUUCUAGUAGUAUAUUUUUUUCAGAGUGUAUUUUUUCACUGUUAGUCAGUUGUAUUCCGUCCAUAAAGAAAUAUAGGAGCUUGAACUUGUGUAAAUUUGUGAUUGCUCAGGAGUGUCCUUUUCUUAUCACUCGACUUACUCCGUAAAUCUUAUUUUUUUACUGUCACUUGUAAGUGAGAUCACAGUGUUAUUGUUGCCAAAAGAAAGCCAAACUCUCAUCCAGAUGCGUCUCGAUUCACAUUUCUAUAUGAUAAUAUGCACGACUGAUUUCUUGUAUCUACUGAUACAAGAGAUUCUUUCAAAAGAUAAUCCUAAACCCCUAACCCAGGGUGGGCGAAAGAUGGAGGCAAUACUGCCGUUGAAGCUCAAGAGUGAGCAGCAGUCCGGUUACCCCUUGCUUUCUCAACUUGAGUAGGAAACUUCCAACCAAACAGGACGGAGGGUCACUAGUGUUUUAGAUGUAGACAUGCAGGAGAGAGAUCUGUCUCAUCUGUCUCAAUCAUGCUAAGUGUGGGGUGAACGCAAAUAUGGGGGUGUUUACCUGUGAUUCCUAUUGAGUGGAAGACUGAAGCAACUCAUUCUACAGACAAGCCUGAAUUUUUUCAAGUAUCAGGUCAGUUCUGUCUUCCACAUUUGUUCAGGUAGGAGGGAGACAACAGGAGGUGAUGAACGCACAGGAGGAGG